UACAGAGGUCUCAAGCGUUGUUCGGAAUUACUGGGCGUAAAGGGCGCGUAGGCGGCCGCCUAAGUCAGACGUGAAAUCCCUCGGCUCAACCGGGGAACUGCGUCUGAUACUGGGUGGCUUGAAUCCGGGAGAGGGAUGCGGAAUUCCAGGUGUAGCGGUGAAAUGCGUAGAUAUCUGGAGGAACACCGGUGGCGAAGGCGGCAUCCUGGACCGGCAUUGACGCUGAGGCGCGAAAGCCAGGGGAGCAAACGGG
rnacentral:rRNA from 1 species